UAGAUACCUUCAUCCAAGGUUCCAUGGUGAACCAGGUCAGGUCUUGAUCGAAGCAGCCUUAAGCUUAUGUAACUUGUGGAUGGGGGGAUCUAAGU
rfam:Staphylococcus sp. CAG:324 genomic scaffold, scf28